rnacentral:lncRNA from 1 species
UGAAAGAAGACAUAAACAACUCCACCAUACAAAAUGUUACACUCAAACAAACCAUUACAGAUAGUACGAAAUGCAAUGAAAGACAGAGGAAUUGGUACGAUAAUAAAGACAGACACGUACCAAUGCAACCCUUCACCAUAGGCAAAACGGUCUACAGAACAAGAAACUAUGAAAAUGCAACACUAAUUCUUGAACAUCAUUUGCAGUAAUUAGAUCCUUCUUCGUCUAUUGCUUCGAUGGCCUUUCUUUGACAUUCUUCUUCGCCUCAUCUCUUGUUGGUUUUCAACCAAAUUCCCAACCAUUUCGGCUUACCAGUUUGGAAAACAACAUAUCCCACGGACAUUCCGAACACCACUCCGCAUCCAUAACCUAUCAACACCACUUUCCAACCAAAAGGAAUGUUUGAUUUUGAGCCAUCUUUUUCAAGCACAUUUGGAGGUGCUGGCUCAAUGAUGUUGCAACCUUUCGAGACCGGAAACCCACAGAGUCCCUUAUUCGCUUCAUAUGAAUCAUUUCCAAAUGUGUUGAAUUGUUUUCCUUGAGGAAUCUGACCAUGGAGUUGAUUUUCAGAAACAUUUAAGGACGAAAGAAAUGGCAGAUCUGCCAAUCUAUUUGGAAUCGUCCCAGACAACCUGUUUGAAGAUAGGUCCAACCAUUCAAGAUUCGUCAAAUUCCCUAUUGAGGUGGGGAUACCACCAUUAAGGUUAUUAUGAGAAAGGUUGAGCCCUUUCAGUAAGUUAAGCUUCCCAAUAACCUUUGGAAUACCCCCUUCAAACUGAUUGUUUGACAGAUCAAUGAUCAUCCACAAGGUGAAAAUUUUCACCAAUUCCAUAUAUUGUCCUUUCAUAACAAUUCCAAUGGAAUAGGUAUAGAAGCCACCAGUAAAAUCUUGCACACCCAUGUAUGGCCUUGCACUACCUUUUUUCUUGAGAUUGAUGAUAGCAUUGAAGCUGUUGAUGUAUCUCACUGGUAGGGGUCCAGAAAAAUAGUUACUUGAGAGGUCAAAAAUUUGGAUUUUAGAGAAAAAAGGGCUAGACUUGGAGCUAUUGACACGCAAGGAACCAUGCAUAUGAUUUGACUUCAAUACAAGAACUUGUAGCUGUGGAAGACUUCCCAACCAAUGAGGAAAUGUAUCGUUGAUCUUGUUGUUACCAAGAUCUAGCACUUCCAGACCAUUACAAUUAAGGAUGGAUGGUGUCAAAGGCCCUUCUAACAGAUUUCCAUUUAAGUUGAAAUCACUCAAUUGGCAUCCCUUUGCAAAUGUUGGAGGAAUCGUCCCAUAGAACUUGUUCUUCUUCAGAUUCAAGAAUUGAAGGCUGUUGCUUAAAUUUCCAAAACAUUGCGGAAUUGUUCCACUCAAGUUAUUGUGGGACAAAUCAAGAAUUCGAAGAGAAGUGAGAUUGCAGAUUAAAGAAGAGACCUCUCCAUUGAAACUAUUAUUUGAGAUCAGGAAGACACUGAUCUUCGAAGCUGGAAUCGGAAGAUUUCCACGGAUCAAAUUGGAGCUUAAGUCGAGAGCUUCAAUAUUCUUCCAUGGAAAGUGCUCAACUUCUGCCAAAGAGUUAUGAGAUACAUUUAAGUAAGCCAAAAAGCCAUUCCCCACCUCUUGCAUCCACUGUGGAAUCUUACCUUCAAUUCUGUUGCAAGAGAGGUCUAAGCUUUUCAAACUUUUAAGCCCUUUCAAAAAUUGGGGGAAUUCACUAAGAUUGCAAGAUGACAAAAAUAAGCUUGCAAGAUUUACAGUAGAAGUAGUAUUAGAUGUUAAGGAUAGGCUGUUAUAUGAAAGGUCGAGAAUUUCUAGAUUUGUAGGUUUGAGAACAUGCGAAACUCUAUGACACCACUAAGAUUAUUUGAGGAUAAAACGAGUUCGGUAAGAUUGAGAAGUUGGAAUAUUGAAGAUGGAAAAGGACCUUGGAGUUUAUUAUUGUUUAGAUAUAAAUAUUCUAGUGAUUUGGAUUGGAAUUCUUUGAUAUGCCCACUGAAUUGAUUUUGAGAGAGAUCUAUAUCCUUUAAGGAGGGAGCAGUAUACAACCAUGACGGAAGUGUUCCAUUGAGAAAAUUGUCAUAUAAGUCUAAAUAUAUUAGAUUAGGAAAAGCGGUUACCUCAUCUGGAAUGGAACCUUCUAAAGAAUUGUUAUAUAUUGCCAAGUAUUCCAGCUGCGUUAGGUUUAGAAUUGACAAUGGAAUUUGUCCACUCAAUUUGUUCCAUCCCAAUUCUAAAUGAGUGAGUUGCAAGAGGUUCCCCAAUGAUCUUGGAAUUUGUCCCCUCAAUUGGUUCUGCCACAAGUCUAAAUAAGUGAGUUGCAAGAGGUUCCCCAACGAACUUGGAAUUUCUCCACUCAAUUGGUUCUGCGAUAAGUCUAAAUGAGUGAGUUGCAAGAGGUUCCUCAAUGAUCUUGGAACCGGUCCUGAUAAGUUGGACUGGGAGAGAACUAAAAACUUCAAGGACACAAGAUUCCCCAUCGAGUCAGGCAAUUCUCCAAAAAUAUUUGCGCCUGAAAUUAUCAAUUGCUCCAAAGAUGAUAAGUUUGUGAUUGAGACUGGCAAUCCUUGAACGAAAGAAUUUCCUGAUAGAUCUAAGUACUUUAGGGCCUGUAGAUUAUCAACUGAAUCAAUGAAUUCUGUAGAGGAGGACAUGGACGACAGAUCCAAAUGUUCAAGAUUGCUGCUCCGAUUGAACUUCAAAGGAUCAAGAUUGAGGUUUUGGUUGCCUCCCAAGUUGAGGAGAUUGAGGUUUGGCAAAUCAAAAAUGUUUUUUGGGAAUUUUCCUUGCAAAUCACAACCAGCAAGACUGAGAGACCUUAGAGAAGAGGAUAGAUUCAUGAAGACAUGAGCAUUAACAGAAGACAUGUCCAUUCCAUCCAAAAACAGAUGUCUGACCUCGGUUAGGUUGUGAACAAGUCCCUCCAGAGCAUGUUUGUCAAUUGUUAGUACAUUAGCCCAAAAGGAGAGAUCAAGUGAAACCAAUUUCGACAGGUGGGAGACUUGGGAUGGGACUUCUCCUGCAAACAAUGUAUUGGAAAGGUUGAGGUAGAAUAGGCUUGUAAACCGACCGAACUCGGAUGGAAUUUUGGAAUGAUUAAAAUCAUUGUAGGCAAGGUUGAAUUUUUGAAGGUGAGGAAGAAGGAAGAGAGUUGUAUUGGAAGGGAAGUUGCCAUAUAGCCAACUGCAGCUCAAGUCAAGGGCAAUAACAUGAGCAUUUAGGUGGUCACAAGUGACUCCAUCCCAUGAGCAGCAAUCUGUACCCUCCUUCCAUGAAUUUGUCUUGGGAUAAGAUUUAUGGCCAGCAAUCUCAUCGCAAUACAAAGCAGCGUGGUCUGUCUGAGUGAUCGAAAAUGAAUUCUUGAACUGGAUUAGAGAAGCAGCUUCGUGGUGAGAGCAGGAGUGAGAUCCUGAAGAAGAAGCAUAAAAAUGGGGAAAGAAGAGGAAUAGGCAGAGAAAGAGAUAGGGGGCCAUGUUAUGGUUGUAGAGGAAGAUGAAGGAUAGGAAUGGCAUUUAUAGGCAACAAAUAAUACCACAACAUUGCUGUUACAGUCUUUUAUUUCUUUUACAUUGAAAAGAUAUGGAUAUUAGAUUUUUAAAAAUUUUGUAUUUUUCACAAUCAUCAACAACCACUUAGUCUUCUUUUUACCAUUAUUUUUCAUUCUUAAAGUUAGAUUUUUUUUUUAGCAAAAUCUUGUAUUUCUUUUGAACUCCUUAAACAACUAAAAAAAUUAAGAUUGACUUAGUCUUCUUCCCUAUAACACUAAAGAAUGUGUAUCUGUUCACUUGCCUGUCAACCAAAGCUAAUUAAUGUGGAGAUUCUUUUCCAAACGAAAGAAUAAAAUUGUGCUCUAUUCACUACGUUUGAGGAAUAAGACUGUUAAAAUUUUAAUCCACCGAUUCCAUAAAAAUGUGUUUAUAUAUUUACAACCUCAUAAUUCAAAUCUAAAAUCUCAUUUGUUAUAAAUUUUGAUAAAUUUAUUUGGGAAUAGCUAGUUUUCAUUCGUUAAUUAUUUCUCUUUUAAUCAAGUAAAAUAUUAAAACUAAAAAGAUAUAAUGAUUUAUUUGGCAUUUUUUAACUUUACAAACAAAAAGUGAUUUUAGCUUUUCUUUUUUUUUUUUUCCGUCUCUUUUAGUCUUUAAACUUGUAUGAUUCGUUAAAUCACCCAAAAAACAUGAUGUAAAAGUUUAAGUACCCAAUUGAGUGGGAAAAAAAUAAGGGUUUAAUUACUUUUUUUGAAGAAGUUUGAGAGUAUUUUUUAUGCAAUUUAAAAGUUUAAGUGCUUAAUUGAGUGUAAAGAAAAAAGAGGAGGGAUUUAAUUUUUUUUUUUUGAAAAAAUUUGAGGGUAUUUUACACCUUAAGCCAAUAAAAAAAACAUGUAUAUCUUCAUACUUUAAAUAAUUUAUUUAUCAUUUAAAUAGUAAUCUGUGAUUUUAUAAUAGAAUAUGCGUUAAAGGAUUCUGGAAAGUAAAGGAUCUGCACGCACACAGACAUGUUGCGAAGAUUGGGUGAAAUACUAGCUGUCAGGUUGUCUUUUUAUGUGUUUUUGACCUCCAAUUAAAUGUAAAAAAAUGUUUUUUUUUUCUGUUGGUAAUGAACAGGAGCCAAAUGUUGAAGUGGCUGGAACUUGUCUUGUAUUGCUUGCCUGCAGAUUUUGGUAUGUUUGAAUGUAUGGAGAUGUGCCAAGUGGAACUAUUUUGGGGCUUAUCACUACCUCUAUGUCACACAACAGAACACAAAAUAAAAUAAUCAAAUCAGAUCUUUGAAUAUUGAAAUACCAAAAGUUAAAAGAGUACAUGCACUAAAAUACAGUAGAAUACAAUGGAAAUAAUUUUUUAUUUUUUUUAGAUUGUAAAUAAGUAUACAUUAUUGUUGUAAAAUAUAGUCGAAAAUACUUUUUUGUUAAAAUUGGAAUAAACACAUUGUGGAUGAAAAUUUUUAAUACAAUACAAAUUGAUCAUUAACAAAUUAAAUGACGAUUUACAUGAGAAAAAUAAAAAUAAAAAAAAGAAACACCGGCGUUGUUUGCCCGAAUGUGUGCCACAACCCAGUGGGUGUUAGUUACGAAAAGGAUUCUAGCUCUUUCUCUUCUUCACCUCCACCUCCAAUUGAUCUUCAUCUUCAUCUCGUUCCUCCGUGCUAGUAUGGAUUAAAUUCUUGCAAUACAGGGGAGAGAAACCUAGUUUUCCCGUAAACUUAUUAUCAAAAAAGUUGAACAAUUUCAAGUUCCAGCAAAUGGAAAGGGGCUUAGCGGUCUUACUCACACUGGACCUAGCACCUAGGUGGUUUGGCUAAUAGUGGGCUAAGAAAUCUUGAAUGGCGAUAUGGGUUGGGGCUUCCGAGGAGUACAAAUAACCUCUGAGUUUUUUUUUUUCAAAUUUGACGAGCAUCUAGAAUAACUAGUGAAUUACAAUUCUAUUGUACCACAAUCGGUGCAUUGGUCUUUGCGGACUUAAUGUGUUUUGCUUGUUGGUUCUAUUAUCACAAAGCGAACCCAAAAUUGGCUUGGUUCCAAGAUGUAGAAUUUAUGUUGAAUCACCAUUUAGCAAGGUUACUGGGGCUUGUUUCCCUUUCUUGGGCAGGGCAUCAAGUACAUGUCUCUUUACCAAUAAACCAAUUUUUAAAUGCUUUAGUAGACUCUAAAGAGAUCUCACUUCCCCAUGAAUUUUUAUUGAAUCAUGAUCUUUUGGCUCAACUUUAUCCUAGUUUUGAUGAGGGAACAACUCCAUUUUUUACCUUGAAUUGGUCAAAAUAUGCAAAAUUUCUUACUUUUCGUGGAUGAUUAAAUCCAAUGAUUGGGGGGUCCAUGGUUGACUGAUAUUGCACACCAUCAUUUAGCUAUUACAAUUCCUUUCCUAAUAGUACGUCACAUGUAUAAGACCAAUUGGGGCAAUGGACAUAGCCUAAAAGAUAUUUUAGAGGCUAUAGAAGUCCAUUCAUAGGCCAAGGACAUAAAGAACUAUAUGAAAUCGUAACAACAACAUGGCAUGCUCAAUGAUCUCUUAAUUUAGUUAUGUUAGGCUCUUUAACCAUUGUUGUAGAUCACCAUACGUAUUCCAUGUCCCCUUAUCCAUAUCUAACUACUGACUACGGUACACAACUAUCAUUGUUCACACAUCACAUGUGGAUUGGUGGAUUUCUGAUAAUGGGUGUUGUAUGGUAAAAAUUAGUUGUAUUCAUUCUUCACAUAGUUGAUCUUUUGUUGUGGAAGUAUUGUAUUUCUGGUAAUCCAUUAAGUAUUCAGUGUUUGAUACAAUAGAUUUGCAUUUUAUUAUUGUAUUUUGUGGAAGGAUCCUUUUUCUAUUUUGUUUUUUGCAUUUCUGAUAAGUUUACAUUUUUCAGUAAUUAAUUUAUGUUGUUUUAGCCAAACUUUGUAGCGUUUCAGUUUUGGUAAAAUUUCAUCCUUGGUCCCUUUAAACUUCUUUUUGCUUUAAUUUGAUUCCUUUCUAGCGUUGCAAAUUACAUAACACUCUUCAAAUGUCUUAUUAAAUUCUCACUUGUACGAGUGCUAUGUUAAUCAAUUUUAAGUUCCAUAUAACACUUACAUGGCCACAAAAUGUGUGUGUGUGUGUAAGUGUCCUCAACCACAAACAAUCCAAAUUUGCUGAGAAACCACCCACUGUAUAUAGGUUUGCCAAUGAGAUGGCAAGCAGACUGCUAGCUAGAAAUUCAUGCAUCUUUGAAUCACCAAUUCAAUUAAUAAGCUUAACUAGAGGAAAUAAGGACUUUACACCACCAAUUAAAGCAACCUAUAUGUACCCUUUUACAGUCUGCAUUGUUCCAUGUUUCCAUUCAUUACAUCAUUCCUUCAACUCUGCUAUAUACUAUUACCGUCUCCAUAUAACCAAACCUUUUACUGCUAACUUCUAAAAGAAUUAUGAAAAUACAACAGAGAUCAUUGAGACAUUUUGUUCUCCUUUCUCCUUUACUGAGCAGUAGCAAAGAUUAUCGAGACUAAAUUGUAAGUCAUGAAAGAAGACAUAAACAACACCACCAUACAAAAUGUCACACUCAAACAAACCAUUACAGAUAGUACGAAAUGCAAUGAAAGACAGAGGAAUUGGUACAAUAAUAAAUACAGACACAUACCAAUGCAACCCUUCACCAAAGGCAAAACGGUCUACAGAACAAGAAAUUAUGAAAAUACAACACUAAUUCUUAAACAUCAUUUGCAGUAAUUAGAUCCUUCUUCGUCUAUCGCUUCGAUUGCCUUUCUUUGACUUUCUUC